rnacentral:rRNA from 1 species
UGGGGAAUUUUGGACAAUGGGCGAAAGCCUGAUCCAGCAAUGCCGCGUGUGUGAAGAAGGCCUUCGGGUUGUAAAGCACUUUUGUCCGGAAAGAAAUCCUUGGCUCUAAUACAGUCGGGGGAUGACGGUACCGGAAGAAUAAGCACCGGCUAACUACGUGCCAGCAGCCGCGGUAAUACGUAGGGUGCAAGCGUUAAUCGGAAUUACUGGGCGUAAAGCGUGCGCAGGCGGUUUGCUAAGACCGAUGUGAAAUCCCCGGGCUCAACCUGGGAACUGCAUUGGUGACUGGCAGGCUAGAGUAUGGCAGAGGGGGGUAGAAUUCCACGUGUAGCAGUGAAAUGCGUAGAGAUGUGGAGGAAUACCGAUGGCGAAGGCAGCCCCCUGGGGCCAAAUACUGACGCUCAUGCACGAAAAGCGUGGGGGAGCAAAACAGGAUUAGAUACCCCUGGUAGUCCACGCCCUAAAACGAUGUCAACUAGUUGUUGGGGAUUCAUUCCUUAGUAACGUAGCUAACGCGUGAAGUUGACCGCCUGGGGGAGUACGGUCGCAAAGAUUAAAAACUUAAAUGAAUUGACGGGGUCAU